rnacentral:sRNA from 1 species
AAACGAUAAAAAAAACAAACAAAAAAAACAGGAAA